rnacentral:rRNA from 1 species
GAACGGGUGAGUAACACGUGAGUAACCUGCCCUUGACUCUGGGAUAAGCCUGGGAAACUGGGUCUAAUACCGGAUAUGACCUUCCAUCGCAUGGUGGUUGGUGGAAAGCUUUUGUGGUUUUGGAUGGACUCGCGGCCUAUCAGCUUGUUGGUGGGGUAAUGGCCUACCAAGGCGACGACGGGUAGCCGGCCUGAGAGGGUGACCGGCCACACUGGGACUGAGACACGGCCCAGACUCCUACGGGAGGCAGCAGUGGGGAAUAUUGCACAAUGGGCGCAAGCCUGAUGCAGCGACGCCGCGUGAGGGAUGACGGCCUUCGGGUUGUAAACCUCUUUCAGUAGGGAAGAAGCCGCAAGGUGACGGUACCUGCAGAAGAAGCGCCGGCUAACUACGUGCCAGCAGCCGCGGUAAUACGUAGGGCGCAAGCGUUAUCCGGAAUUAUUGGGCGUAAAGAGCUCGUAGGCGGUUUGUCGCGUCUGCCGUGAAAGUCCGGGGCUCAACUCCGGAUCUGCGGUGGGUACGGGCAGACUAGAGUGAUGUAGGGGAGACUGGAAUUCCUGGUGUAGCGGUGAAAUGCGCAGAUAUCAGGAGGAACACCGAUGGCGAAGGCAGGUCUCUGGGCAUUAACUGACGCUGAGGAGCGAAAGCAUGGGGAGCGAACAGGAUUAGAUACCCUGGUAGUCCAUGCCGUAAACGUUGGGCACUAGGUGUGGGGGACAUUCCACGUUUUCCGCGCCGUAGCUAACGCAUUAAGUGCCCCGCCUGGGGAGUACGGCCGCAAGGCUAAAACUCAAAGGAAUUGACGGGGGCCCGCACAAGCGGCGGAGCAUGCGGAUUAAUUCGAUGCAACGCGAAGAACCUUACCAAGGCUUGACAUGAACCGGACCGCUGCAGAAAUGUGGUUUCCCCUUUGGGGCUGGUUUACAGGUGGUGCAUGGUUGUCGUCAGCUCGUGUCGUGAGAUGUUGGGUUAAGUCCCGCAACGAGCGCAACCCUCGUUCUAUGUUGCCAGCACGUGAUGGUGGGGACUCAUAGGAGACUGCCGGGGUCAACUCGGAGGAAGGUGGGGACGACGUCAAAUCAUCAUGCCCCUUAUGUCUUGGGCUUCACGCAUGCUACAAUGGCCGGUACAAAGGGUUGCGAUACUGUGAGGUGGAGCUAAUCCCAAAAAGCCGGUCUCAGUUCGGAUUGGGGUCUGCAACUCGACCCCAUGAAGUCGGAGUCGCUAGUAAUCGCAGAUCAGCAACGCUGCGGUGAAUACGUUCCCGGGCCUUGUACACACCGCCCGUCAAGUCACGAAAGUUGG